UAGCGGUGUGGGAUGAGCCCGCGGCCUAUCAGCUUGUUGGUGGGGUGACGGCCUACCAAGGCGACGACGGGUAGCCGGCCUGAGAGGGUGUCCGGCCACACUGGGACUGAGAUACGGCCCAGACUCCUACGGGAGGCAGCAGUGGGGAAUAUUGCACAAUGGGCGCAAGCCUGAUGCAGCGACGCCGCGUGGGGGAUGACGGCCUUCGGGUUGUAAACCUCUUUCACCAUCGACGAAGGUCCGGGUUCUCUCGGAUUGACGGUAGGUGGAGAAGAAGCACCGGCCAACUACGUGCCAGCAGCCGCGGUAAUACGUAGGGUGCGAGCGUUGUCCGGAAUUACUGGGCGUAAAGAGCUCGUAGGUGGUUUGUCGCGUUGUUCGUGAAAUCUCACGGCUUAACUGUGAGCGUGCGGGCGAUACGGGCAGACUAGAGUACUGCAGGGGAGACUGGAAUUCCUGGUGUAGCGGUGGAAUGCGCAGAUAUCAGGAGGAACACCGGUGGCGAAGGCGGGUCUCUGGGCAGUAACUGACGCUGAGGAGCGAAAGCGUGGGGAGCGAACAGGAUUAGAUACCCUGGUAGUCCACGCCGUAAACGGUGGGUACUAGGUGUGGGUUUCCUUCCUUGGGAUCCGUGCCGUAGCUAACGCAUUAAGUACCCCGCCUGGGGAGUACGGCCGCAAGGCUAAAACUCAAAGGAAUUGACGGGGGCCCGCACAAGCGGCGGAGCAUGUGGAUUAAUUCGAUGCAACGCGAAGAACCUUACCUGGGUUUGACAUGCACAGGACGCGUCUAGAGAUAGGCGUUCCCUUGUGGCCUGUGUGCAGGUGGUGCAUGGCUGUCGUCAGCUCGUGUCGUGAGAUGUUGGGUUAAGUCCCGCAACGAGCGCAACCCUUGUCUCAUGUUGCCAGCACGUAAUGGUGGGGACUCGUGAGAGACUGCCGGGGUCAACUCGGAGGAAGGUGGGGAUGACGUCAAGUCAUCAUGCCCCUUAUGUCCAGGGCUUCACACAUGCUACAAUGGCCGGUACAAAGGGCUGCGAUGCCGCGAGGUUAAGCGAAUCCUUAAAAGCCGGUCUCAGUUCGGAUCGGGGUCUGCAACUCGACCCCGUGAAGUCGGAGUCGCUAGUAAUCGCAGAUCAGCAACGCUGCGGUGAAUACGUUCCCGGGCCUUGUACACACCGCCCGUCA
rnacentral:rRNA from 1 species